rnacentral:lncRNA from 1 species
UAUAAAAUAGAUAAGCACCAGGAUAUAUUGCACAGCACAGGGAAAUAUAGCCAUUAUUUUGUAAUUACUUUAAAUGGAUUACAAUCUAGAAAAAUACCAAAUCACUAUGUGGUGCCUCUGAAACUAAUAAAAUACUGUAAAUCAACUAUACUUCCAUUAAAAAAAAAAAAAACACAGAGACCUUCUGAACACUGAGAAGAAGAGAACUCUGAGAAGAAACUCUGUACUACUUCAGAAAUACACAGAACUAAACCAAAGCUGACCCCAAAUAAACACUUGCUUGAAUACUCUUCCUUUCUUUAACAGAUCUGAUGUUACAAAUGCUAGACAGAAUCUGAAACAGCUUUUCCAAAUAUUUCAUUCUAUUUAUGGAGUAUAUGGGUUUUUUUCCCCCAAAUAUUUCAUUCUAUUUCUGGAGAAAUAUGGAAUGUGGGCCCCACAGCCAUGCUGGAAGAUCGCAUGGUAGGUCUGAUCUUCAUCCACCCUGCUGGCUGGACACCCGACCUCACUGUCCUAAUGGAGGCUGAAAUCUAAAAACAAGAAAAGCCUUUGAGAAGACAACAAAGAAACAGACCGUGGUUUACAGAAGGGACGUUAGGCCUUUCCCUUUCAAAAAGAGAAGCUGAGUUCUCAGCUUUGUCAUGGCUCACGGGGAUCGAACCUGCAUCCUCAUGGAUACUAGUCAGGUUUGUUACCACUGAGCCACAACAGGAACUCCUGAAUUGUAUUCUUUAAAUAGUUAUUUUGAAUGUUACUAAAUUUAUAUCUCAAGAAAGUUGAUUUAUUUUAUUUUUUUGGCUGUGCCCAUGGCAUGUGGAAGUUCCCAUGCCAGGGAUCGAACCCAAGCCAUAGCAGUGACCUGAGCUGUGGCAGUGACAACAUUGUCCUUCACCCAAUGAGGCACCAGGAAACCCAAUAAAGCUUUUUCUUUAAAAAAAAAAAAAAGGAGAAAUUGGCCUUUGCAAUGUGACAAAUUCCCAAUUUAAUUCAAUCAACCACAACUGAGGGUCCCCUACUGGAUGCGGCAGGAAAUUACACAGGACCAGAAUCAGGCUGUUCAAAGGGACUGGCCAAAGCUCCCACCCUUCCCUCUGCUUAAUCUGCUGUCCACCACUUGUUCAUCAUGCAAUAAUCACACAGUCCUGCUAAAGUGCUAAUAAAAUAACAUCUUGAUCCCUAUCCAAACUCAGAUGAAAACUAAAAGCAAACCUAACUGUUCUUUGCAAAGAACUUUAACUCCACCAAACUGAGGUCUUGCCACUAAAACUGAGGUCCCUGAAUCAGUGCCACAUUAAGGUCCAGGUUGCAGGGCACUUUUGUGGCUUAACAAAGUCAAUUAUCUGCCGACAGCUCUUCGAAGAGGGUGCAGACAGCAGCUGGGUCAUCAGAAGCCCCCUCCCUAGAAAUACCUGACAGUGAUUUUCCAAAAACAGCUCUGGGAACUUGCCAGAGUCCCUCAAAGUAGAUUCUCCUAGUAUCUUCACACCCCAAAAUAUAAGAGAUACAAAAGCUACUCAAAGUCUUGCUGGCUAAAAAAAUACAUGUUAGGGAAAAGAUGAUGGGUUCCAAGAUGUAACAAUAAAAGCACUGUUUUGCCAAAAGUCUGCUCAUCACUUUGCUGGGCUUUUUGAGGCUUGUUUAACAUAAAGCAUACCCAAAUGAGGGAGGGAAGAGAUUUUUUAAAUUUAUUUUUAUUUUUUUCUUUUUUGGCGACA